AAUCAACGCUGGCGGCGUGCCUCAGACAUGCAAGUCGAACGAUUAAAGCUCUCUUCGGAGAGUGCAUAGAGUGGCGCACGGGUGAGUAACACGUAAGUAAUCUACCUUCGAGUGGGGAAUAACACCGAGAAAUCGGUGCUAAUACCGCAUAAUGCAGCGGCAUCGCAAGAUGACAGUUGUUAAAGAUUUAUCGCUUGAAGAGGAGCUUGCGGCAGAUUAGCUAGUUGGUAAGGUAAUGGCUUACCAAGGCUACGAUCUGUAACCGGUCUAAGAGGACGGUCGGUCACACUGACACUGAAUAACGGGUCAGACUCCUACGGAGGCAGCAGUCGGGAAUUUUGGGCAAUGGGCGAAAGCCUGACCCAGCAACGCCGCGUGAAGGAU
rnacentral:rRNA from 1 species